CUCCGUCUUCAUGUCGGACCACUUCUUUUUGACCUCGGGCAACUCUCGGGGGCAGGUGGUGACGGCGUUGACUUUGCGGAGGAUGUCGACCCAGGCGUUAUUCUUAGCCAUCCGACGCCAUAAGUGCAGAAAAGCCUCUAAAGACAAGGGAUUGUGCGUAUCGUACGCAAAAAAGUGCGAUUUACUCAACUGCUGUGCGCAACGUAAUGGCUUCCAGAAUCGGCUUCUUCUGAAGAACAAACAGCUACGGGAGCCCCGCCCCCCCAACGCGGCUUCGCCAUAGGCUGGGUGGAGGGAUGACGUCAAACGUUCUGUGGGCCUCAUUGUGUAGAACAGAUGACAAUCAAGGCACGAGCCAAACAGCGCGCGCUCCCGAAGCCUCAAUAAAGAUUGAUGGAAAAAACGGAAGUGUCAAGGUGGCGCGCGCGUUUGUGGAGCACCGUCCAGAAUGACGUGUUCCUUCAUCCUAUGAAUGAAUCACAUACAUGAACCUUAUUUAUUCUUGACCCGCCUGAAGGUUCUGGAGACCAGAACAUGUUCGUUCUGCCGCGACUCGGAGCUCUGCGCUCUGGAACAGAGACGCGCGUGAGCUGAGAGUCACGAGAGUCUUGGGGUUUUGAUGCGCGGUUUUACUGUUUUGAUGCGCAAUACUUUAGGCUCUAUUUUGACACCAUAAGUCUUCCUCUGGAAGCUCAUCCAGAGAAUGCCAAGAGUGAGCAAAGCAGUGUAACCAACUUCCUGGAUCUUUUAUUUUGGGAGAGGUGUGUCCCUCCCGGGACCCUAGAGACCAGGGGGCGUGGCAAGUUCAGAGGGAAUCAUUAGUUUUGGGAGUUGAAGAAGAAGAAUAAAGAAGUGGUGAGCAGAUCCACUAAAUGGCG